rnacentral:rRNA from 1 species
GUAGGUGGCAAGCGUUGUCCGGAAUUACUGGGCGUAAAGCGCGCGCAGGCGGUUCUUUAAGUCUGAUGUGAAAGCCCACGGGCUCAACCGUGGAGGGUCAUUGGAAACUGGAGAACUUGAGUACAGAAGAGGAAAGCGGAAUUCCACGUGUAGCGGUGAAAUGCGUAGAGAUGUGGAGGAACACCAGUGGCGAAGGCGGCUUUCUGGUCUGUAACUGACGCUGAGGCGCGAAAGCGUGGGGAGCAAACAGGAUUAGAUACCCUGGUAGUCCACGCCGUAAACGAUGAGUGCUAAGUGUUAGGGGGUUUCCGCCCCUUAGUGCUGCAGCUAACGCAUUAAGCACUCCGCCUGGGGAGUACGGCCGCAAGGCUG